GUUGAAGGAAACAAAUCAUCAUACCUUUAAUACUGGCUCCAAUUGGCCCCUUUCAUGAGUAGUCUUGGAGAGAUCAUUGCUAAUCUGGAAUGGACAUACUCCUUGAUCUUGGUUGGCUUUUUUCAAACUGUGAUGAAGACACUUUUUAUAGCCCUGUUCAGAAUACAGAAGGAGACCUACUCUUCUCUGAUCACAAUCUAAAUGCUACAGACAGAGGACAUGUGGAAAGAUCUGUCAUGGAUUAAAUAUAAACAAAAAUGAAGCAAGAAACAAAACUAGUCUUUCAAUGAAAAGCUGAAGAUGCUGAAGAAGAAAUGCAAAAUCAUUUCACAAGAAAAACAAAAUCAGACCAGGAUCACUUGGCGUACCAUCCUAGCAAAAUAUAUCUUCUUGGAGUUGCCCUGACAAUGCUCCUCAAAAACUACUUUCUUCAUCUUCUUGCGGGUUAAAUACUGGGAUUAAAUCCUAGCAUAAAAAUUACAUCUAAAAUGAAACACAGCUCUUCACCAUUGUUGACCUCUUUAACACCUUAAUGUCUACUCAAUCUGUUGUUCCUUUUAACUUCACUAGUGUAUUUUUCACAACCAAAAUUUUGGAAUGAUCUUGAGCUCCUUCAUGAUUUUCUUUCCUUUAAGUCAACAAUAUCUAGAAUUACCUGUACUGUCUUUCACACAUAAUUUCCUUCCCUGACCUGUUUUCAGAACAAUCACAAGUCACUUUUUCU
rnacentral:lncRNA from 1 species